rnacentral:rRNA from 1 species
AACGAACGCUGGCGGCAUGCCUAACACAUGCAAGUCGAACGAGAUCUUCGGGUCUAGUGGCGCACGGGUGCGUAACGCGUGGGAAUCUGCCCUUUGGUUCGGAAUAACAGUUGGAAACGACUGCUAAUACCGGAUGAUGACGAAAGUCCAAAGAUUUAUCGCCAGAGGAUGAGCCCGCGUAGGAUUAGCUAGUUGGUGUGGUAAAGGCGCACCAAGGCGACGAUCCUUAGCUGGUCUGAGAGGAUGAUCAGCCACACUGGGACUGAGACACGGCCCAGACUCCUACGGGAGGCAGCAGUGGGGAAUAUUGGACAACGGGCGAAAGCCUGAUCCAGCAAUGCCGCGUGAGUGAUGAAGGCCUUAGGGUUGUAAACCUCUUUUACCCGGGAUGAUAAUGACAGCACCGGGAGAAUAAGCUCCGGCUAACUCCGUGCCAGCCGCCGCAGUAA